rnacentral:rRNA from 1 species
UCGAACGGCAGCACGGAGCUUGCUCUGGUGGCGAGUGGCGAACGGGUGAGUAAUAUAUCGGAACGUACCCUGGAGUGGGGGAUAACGUAGCGAAAGUUACGCUAAUACCGCAUACGAUCUAAGGAUGAAAGUGGGGGAUCGCAAGACCUCAUGCUCGUGGAGCGGCCGAUAUCUGAUUAGCUAGUUGGUAGGGUAAAAGCCUACCAAGGCAUCGAUCAGUAGCUGGUCUGAGAGGACGACCAGCCACACUGGAACUGAGACACGGUCCAGACUCCUACGGGAGGCAGCAGUGGGGAAUUUUGGACAAUGGGCGAAAGCCUGAUCCAGCAAUGCCGCGUGAGUGAAGAAGGCCUUCGGGUUGUAAAGCUCUUUUGUCAGGGAAGAAACGGUGAAAGCUAAUAUCUUUUGCUAAUGACGGUACCUGAAGAAUAAGCACCGGCUAACUACGUGCCAGCAGCCGCGGUAAU